rnacentral:piRNA from 1 species
UCACCUCUAUAAAAGUCCUGCCU